rnacentral:tRNA from 1 species
CGCGCCCUCGCCCGGCGGCGCGGGGAGGUUCUUCCGGCGAUCCUGCAGGUCGAUACCGGCAUGGCCCGGUUCGGCCUCCCGCGCGCGGGCC